rnacentral:rRNA from 1 species
UACGUAGGAGGCAAGCGUUGUCCGGAAUUAUUGGGCGUAAAGCGCGCGCAGGCGGUCCUUUAAGUCUGAUGUGAAAGCCCACGGCUCAACCGUGGAGGGUCAUUGGAAACUGGAGGACUUGAGUACAGAAGAGGAAAGCGGAAUUCCACGUGUAGCGGUGAAAUGCGUAGAGAUGUGGAGGAACACCAGUGGCGAAGGCGGCUUUCUGGUCUGUAACUGACGCUGAGGCGCGAAAGCGUGGGGAGCAAACAGG